AUAUAUAUAUAUAUAUAUAUAUAUACACACACACACACACACUAAAGAUGACAAUUGAAAAAUUAAUUAAUCUACCACAUAUAAUUUCAAUCCCAAACUGUAAUUAUCUCUCUCUUUAUAAUUCUUACCUCUCGAUUCCUUCUUAUCUUACCCUCUCUCUAACCUCUUACCGACGAUGAGGCCGCAUGCAACGACUGAUGCAGUUGAAGAUAUCAAUAAACCCAAACAGCAACACGACACUGAUAAGUUGUCGAUUAGGUGACGUCACUGCGCUCGGCACUGCACGCAAUGAGACGCCGAUCGUCGUUUUUCCAUCAACACGGUAGAUCGAGGGACAUUGCAGAUUGGUGGUCCUUUCCUCCAUUUUUUUCUAGUCACGGAUGUUUAUGUUUGUGGUAUUGGUUGUGGUUGUAGUUGUGUGAGAUUUCGAUGGGGUCAAAUGAUGAAGUGGUAGUGAUGACAAGUAGAAUUUUGAUGAAAUCCAAGACAAAGCAGAGAGUUGGGUCACGAAAUUGCUCAUUUUUGGGGAUCGACUAAUCGAGAACAACCUAUAGAUCUGGUAUUCGAUUCUUUCAAUCUCGUUUCACCAGGGCUGUGACAUAGAGGUGGUGGUGGUUGUGGGUUAGGUUAUCCGGUGGUUGUUGAUUAAUGUAUAGAUAUCGGUGAUGGUGGUGCAAUCAGCUGGAGAUGGUGUUUGUGGUAUUGAUUGGUUCCUGGUGUAGGUGGUGGUGAUGUUGGUGCAAUGUAGUUUAUAGCGAUAGCGAUGAAGUUGGGAUGAUGUGAUAAUUAUUUUGAUGUUGUGACCAAAAGUAAUAUGUGACAUGUAAAUUUUUUGAUUUGUGACCCAAAAUAAUUUGUAACUAAUAAAUAAUGUGUGACCAAAAAAUUUAUUAAGUUGUAAUCGAUAAAUUGAAAUAAAUUG
rnacentral:lncRNA from 1 species